rnacentral:misc_RNA from 1 species
GAUGAAGAACGCGGCGAAAUGCGAUAAGUAAUGUGAAUUGCAGAAUUCAGUGAAUCAUCGAAUCUUUGAACGCAUCUUGCGCUCCUUGGUAUUCUGAGGAGCAUGCCUGUUUGAGUGUCAUUAAAUUCUCAACUACACUGACUUUGAAUUGGUGUGGCUUGGAUUUGGGGGGAAAAUUGUUGUGGGCUUUUUGUAUAGUCUGCUCCCCUGAAAUUGAUUAGCGGUACCUUUGUGGAACUGUCUACAGGUGUGAUAAUUAUCUACAUCUUAGACAUCUGCUGGAAUGCUGCUUUCUAAACCUUACUUGUAUUGACAAUCUUGACCUCAAAUCAGGUAGGACUACCCGCUGAACUUAAGCAUAUCAUUAAGCGGAGGA